rnacentral:rRNA from 1 species
GACGAACGCUGGCGGCGUGCUUAACACAUGCAAGUCGAACGGUAAGGCCUUCGGGUACACGAGUGGCGAACGGGUGAGUAACACGUGGGUGAUCUGCCCCCUACUCUGGGAUAAGCCUGGGAAACUGGGUCUAAUACCGGAUAUGACCUCCUUCUGCAUGGUUGGUGGUGGAAAGUUUUUUCGGUAGGGGAUGAGCCCGCGGCCUAUCAGCUUGUUGGUGGGGUAAUGGCCUACCAAGGCGACGACGGGUAGUCGGCCUGAGAGGGCGAACGGCCACACUGGGACUGAGACACGGCCCAGACUCCUACGGGAGGCAGCAGUGGGGAAUAUUGCACAAUGGGCGAAAGCCUGAUGCAGCGACGCCGCGUGGGGGAUGACGGCCUUCGGGUUGUAAACCCCUUUCAGUCGGGACGAAGCGAGAGUGACGGUACCGAUAGAAGAAGCACCGGCCAACUACGUGCCAGCAGCCGCAGUAAGAC